rnacentral:rRNA from 1 species
UACAGAGGGUGCGAGCGUUAAUCGGAAUUACUGGGCGUAAAGCGUGCGUAGACGCUAUCUAAGUCGGGUGUGAAAGCCCCGGGCUCAACCUGGGAAUUGCAUUCGAGACUGAAUAGCUAGGGUACGGUAGAGGGAAGUGGAAUUUCCGGUGAGCGGUGAAAUGCGUAGUAUAUCGGAAGGAACAUCAGUGGCGAAAGCGA